CGCAAUCUAACACACUCGGUCCAGCGACGAUAAGAUGCCCACUCCUCUGAACAUCCACAAACUCCUCUACCCACCUGAUUGCCAAAGACAGCCACGGAGCAGGCUGUUGAAACCUCAUUAGCCCCGAACCAGACAGAAGCCAGGCGGGAGGGCAUGCCCAGGAUGAAGACCUGGGCCACGGAGCAGAUGACCUGGCCCAGCACGGUGACCGCGAAGAGGUGUGGCUGCAGGCUGCCCAACUUCACCCAGGCCCCCAAGCAGUUGAGAAACGAGCCGGUGAGGGCGAUGGUGCGCAGGCCGAAUUUCUCCAGCAGCCAGGCCACCGGCAGGAGCAGAGGGAUGUAGGUCAGCAUGUAGCACAUGGACAGCCAGUCGAUGGCAAAGGCGCUGACCCCGUAGAAGUUCAUGAAGAUGUUAUUGAUGGCGCCGUACUGGAUCCACUGAAAGGCGUUGCACAUGGAGUAGCAGCUGAACACCAGGACCACAGCCCAACGGCGCCUGCUCACCUUGAUCACGCUGAGGUUUUCGGGGCUGGAACCACAGGGUUGGGUCAAGCCGCCGGGCUGAGCCAAGGCACUGGGGUCAUCAUGGACCUCUCCCCAAACUCUUCAGAAUAUAUUCUGAACUUCACCUUAUAGACGAGGAAGCUGGAACCUGGAGAGUCAGGUGUGUUACUCAGAGUCUCACAGUGAAUUAGCAUCAGAACGAACGACGGUAAGAUUUCCCUUCCAUGUGGCAUCUCCCAUUAUCUUUUCUGGGGCAGCACUUCAGUCUGAUGACAAAUUCCAAGAGGUCUAACCUGGGAUAUUUGGAGUUGCUUUUGUGGAGAAGUACACCUUGAUGGAGAAGGAGAAAUACAUUUUAGAGAUUGCUUCCUGAAAGGGGGCUCUGAUUCUUGGUUCUGUUCUCAACUGACUCCAGAGGAAGCUUGCAGGAACCUCUGGCGUUAAACUCAACCUUUCCUGGCCUUCUGCAGACUGGUAGCAAAAUCUGCCCCCUAGAGGCUAACGGCAACUCCUGGCAGUAAGAACUGAACUUGGAAAUCAGACUCUCUCGCCCUUAUUGAUAGAUAGCUUACUACCAUCUAAACAGGGCUGUAGAUGUGAGAAGCAUGGAGUUUGGCGAGUGCUUGAGAAGUUACAGUGAAGUGAAUCAGGUUGAGACCCUGAAUUAUGCCUCCUUAAAAUACUAGCUUUUGGAACUUCUAAAAAUGUUGCCCUUACUAGUCUUAUAUGUAUAAUUUAUAUGUGUAAUACUACAUGAUUGUCAAUUUUCUGUUUGCCUUAUCGCCUACGUUUUUUUCAGAUUUCUAGCUCUCUAAGGACUUAUGUAUAUCUUUGCAUAGCCUGGAG